rnacentral:lncRNA from 1 species
CGGGAGCAAGACUUGAAACAGCGAUCCAUAAAAAAAAAAAAAAAAAAAGCCAAUACUUAUAUCGGCUAGAAUAAGGCGAUAACUAAAAGGAAUUACUGAAUAACUUAGUAAAAUAGAUGUGACUACUAUGGAUGAUCUAAUACUGAAUAAACAAGUAUCCCCUCUAGAUGGAAAAAGAUUUUCUUUGAAAGGUAGUUUUACCCCAUUUGCUAGAGCUGGAAGAAUUCCCAAUGGGCUGGCUUAUUCAGGUCCAAUAUAUUGUUGUAUCCUCGUAGAUAUUUCUCUUUCUAACCAAACAAUUACUAGUACACCUAGUGUGAUUCCUAAUGCAAGAGUCAAAAUAGGCACAAACACCCAUAUGAUCCCGUAGACUUCUUUUAAGAAUUCCAAUCUAGAAAACAAAUUGAUGGCUUGUAGUUCUGUUUUAUUAUUAAUUAUCAUUUCAACGAUCCGAUAAUGAUAUCUCUACUGCCUAGUAUCGUCAUAAUAUCAGCCAAUUUCAUUCUUUUAACUAACUGAGGCAAAACUUGCAAGUUAAUAAAACCCGGUGGGUGAAUUUUCCAUCUCCAAGGAAAAGUACUCGGAUCUCCUAUUAGAAAAA